rnacentral:rRNA from 1 species
CGGACGGGUGAGUAAUGUCUGGGAAACUGCCUGAUGGAGGGGGAUAACUACUGGAAACGGUAGCUAAUACCGCAUAACGUCGCAAGACCAAAGAGGGGGACCUUCGGGCCUCUUGCCAUCGGAUGUGCCCAGAUGGGAUUAGCUUGUUGGUGGGGUAACGGCUCACCAAGGCGACGAUCCCUAGCUGGUCUGAGAGGAUGACCAGCCACACUGGAACUGAGACACGGUCCAGACUCCUACGGGAGGCAGCAGUGGGGAAUAUUGCACAAUGGGCGCAAGCCUGAUGCAGCCAUGCCGCGUGUAUGAAGAAGGCCUUCGGGUUGUAAAGUACUUUCAGCGGGGAGGAAGGGAGUAAAGUUAAUACCUUUGCUCAUUGACGUUACCCGCAGAAGAAGCACCGGCUAACUCCGUGCCAGCAGCCGCGGUAAUACGGAGGGUGCAAGCGUUAAUCGGAAUUACUGGGCGUAAAGCGCACGCAGGCGGUUUGUUAAGUCAGAUGUGAAAUCCCCGGGCUCAACCUGGGAACUGCAUCUGAUACUGGCAAGCUUGAGUCUCGUAGAGGGGGGUAGAAUUCCAGGUGUAGCGGUGAAAUGCGUAGAGAUCUGGAGGAAUACCGGUGGCGAAGGCGGCCCCCUGGACGAAGACUGACGCUCAGGUGCGAAAGCGUGGGGAGCAAACAGGAUU